rnacentral:tRNA from 1 species
GCGGAGAUGGCGGAAUAGGUAUACGCGCCUGAUUUAGAAUCAGGAUUUUGAGAGUUAGUUCCGAUAACCAUCGGAACUCUCUCCGUA